GAUGAACGCUAGCGGCAGGCUUAAUACAUGCAAGUCGAGGGGCAGCGCAGCGUAGCAAUACAUGGGCGGCGACCGGCAAACGGGUGCGGAACACGUACGCAACCUUCCUUUAAGUGGGGGAUAGCCCAGGGAAACUUGGAUUAAUACCCCGUAAUAUUAUGAAGUGGCAUCACUUUAUACUUAUAGCUCCGGCGCUUAAAGAUGGGCGUGCGACUGAUUAGGUAGUUGGCGGGGUAACGGCCCACCAAGCCUGCGAUCAGUAACUGGUGUGAGAGCACGACCAGUCGCACGGGCACUGAGACACGGGCCCGACUCCUACGGGAGGCAGCAGUAAGGAAUAUUGGUCAAUGGACGCAAGUCUGAACCAGCCAUGCCGCGUGGAGGAUGAAGGUCCUCUGGAUUGUAAACUUCUUUUAUUUGGGAAGAAACCCACUGUUUCUACGGUGGUUGACGGUACCAGAUGAAUAAGCACCGGCUAACUCCGUGCCAGCCGCCGCGGUAA
rnacentral:rRNA from 1 species